GGGGAGGAGGAAGCUAAACAAUGAUUUGCUAAAUUUGAAAGAGACCCGACUUUUCACAGGAUACCAAAGCUUUCCCAAACGCAACCUUCUCUGCCGUGUCCUGUUCUCCAAGUUUCCAGCUGAAAGCAUCCCGAGGAAAUGGUGUCAUCGGCUCAAUUAAAAAUGCUUCCUCCAUCCUGGCUGUACAAUGCCCCGUGGGCUUUCUGCAUUUCGGCCGGAUUUUUCCAAAAGGAGUGAUUCAGCUUCUUAGAGGCGUUGGCUGGUAGUGUGGGCUAGCUGACGGCCACGGAAAGCCCUUGCUCUUCGACUCUCCUGGGACCAGGACUUUGGUCAGGUUUCAAAUAAUUGUAAAUGAGAACACUUCUCCAUCUGUUCUGGAAACAGAGUGGUUGCUGAAGGCCCAAGUACUUCAGCUGGGUUAAACUUGGACCAGCCCAGGUGACCGGUGAAAACCUUGCGGAAUACUUCACAUCGGCCGAGACCACACACCCGGAUUCCUGGACCGUGUCUGGCGUUUGUAAUCAAACACAAGCCCAGAAUGUUUGUUCUCCUAAGUAACGGAGACACGUUCUUCUCGUUUGAAAGCUUUCUGUCUUACCCAACAAGGUCUGUAUCUAAACUAUGUUAAAGACACAUAGCAAAGGGGUGACAUCACAGAGUAGAUUUUGUUCUUUGAGCUCUGGGCUGAGCUGAAGUUGAGCAGUGACAAUGAGUCAUGUCGUCUUGUGACCGGCCGGGCACUUUCCCAAUCAGAGAGACUGGAAAGAUCUCGGACAACAGAACCUGGGGUUGUUUGAAGAAGAGGUAUGAGCAGGACCUGUGUGCUUGGUGAUACAGCCUUUGUGCCCUUGCAAAUGCUGAAUAACAAAACGCCAAGGAUGAGCUAACAGUUAGUAAGGCUGACUCAUUUCCUCAUCUGUAGAUGAAAGGGAUCGUUCGAGAAAUGACUGGCUUGCGGUACAGGUGAGGCGUGGCGAGUCUUUUGAAAGCAAGGCUGACUAGGACCUCGGCUUGUCAGUGAUCCGGUGCAUUGAAAAGGACAUUUCAUUAUGAAAUCAUGUCAGAGGGUAAAAGCCAGGUCCAUUUCUGUCCUUAACGACGUGAGGAUGGCUGAUUGCAGAUUAUAUUCACGAGAAAGAGGUUACGUAAAGCUUGUGCAAAUCACAUGUAAAGAUGGUUGAAAAUUGAAAAUAAAAAGGUGGAAUCAA